GUUUUAAUAGUUAAAAAAUAAUAUCGGUCUUGUAAACCAAAGUUACAAAAGUUUAAAACU
rnacentral:tRNA from 1 species